UCUAUGAGUGGGUGUUGUUUACACACCUGUUUGCGACGAAAUACUGACGAGUUCCACACACGAACUGCCUACAAUCAAUUACUAAUACGUUAACUAUGAAUCCAUAGCAACUUAUCUACUAAACUCCUUACCAAAAAUCGACCAUUAACACUUUAGGCACUAGUGUUCUUACCUUUGCCAAAAUAUGAACUAGAUCCAGAUUCAAUCAUUCCAAUUAUCCAAGCCUUCGAUCAGUUGCCUUUAAUCCACACUAUAGGAAAACAAAUAAAAUAUCACCACUAAACCCUUUGAGUACAAUCAACAGACACCUUUUGCAUAUAGGAUUUUUUCGGCUUUUACCUUUAAUUCAUGAAUAACGAAAGAAAGGUUCGAGCGUUUACCUAUAUCGUUAUGACACUACUCCCAAUCGAUUGUAGAUCCAACCACCACACAAGAAGGGAAAAUACUCAACCAAGGGUUCGGCCUUUGCAGUACCUCAAAAUAGUAAGAUUUUGAUUUUGGAAGAAAAGAUACUAGGUUUGGCUUCAAUGGAAAUUCAGCUAACCAGUUUUGUUGAGGAUUUAUGAGAGAAAAGAAGAAGAAGAAUAUGAAGGAUUUAGGUUCGGAAAAAAGAUAGGAUGAA
rnacentral:lncRNA from 1 species